GCCCGCGUGGCCUAAUGGAUAAGGCAUUGCCCUCCUAAGGCAGGGAUUGGGAGUUCGAGUCUCCCCGUGGGUG